AACUUAAGCAUAUCAAUAAGCGGAGGAAAAGAAACCAACAGGGAUUGCCUCAGUAACGGCGAGUGAAGCGGCAACAGCUCAAAUUUGAAAUCUGGCUCCUUCGGGGCCCGAGUUGUAAUUUGCAGAGGAUGCGUCGGGUACGGGUGCCUUCCGAGUUCCCUGGAACGGGACGCCAUAGAGGGUGAGAGCCCCGUCUGGUAGGAUACCCAGCCCGUGUGACGCUCCCUCGACGAGUCGAGUAGUUUGGGAAUGCUGCUCUAACGGGAGGUAUACUCCUUCCAAGGCUAAAUACCGGCUGGAGACCGAUAGCGCACAAGUAGAGUGAUCGAAAGAUGAAAAGCACUUUGAAAAGAGAGUCAAACAGCACGUGAAAUUGUUAAAAGGGAAGCGCUCGCUACCAGACUUGGGUUCGGCGGUUCAACCGGGGCCACGCCCCGGGGCAUUCCGCCGGCCCAGGCCAGCAUCAGCUUUCCGUCGGGGGUAAAGGCGUCGGGAAUGUGGCUCCCCUUCGGGGGAGUGUUAUAGCCCGUCGUGUCAUACCCUUCGGGGGGCUGAGGUACGCGCUUCUGCAAGGAUGCUGGCGUAAUGGUAGCUAGUGACCCGUCUUGAAACACGGACCAAGGAGUCAACCUUAUGUGCGAGUGCCCGGGCGUAAAACCCCAGCGCGGAAUGAAAGUGAACGUAGGUGAGAGCUUCGGCGCAUCACCGACCGAUCCUGAUGUCCUCGGACGGAUUUGAGUGAGAGCAUAUAGGGUUGGACCCGAAAGAAGAUGAACUAUGCGUGUGUAGGGUGAAGCCAGAGGAAACUCUGGUGGAGGCUCGCAGCGGUUCUGACGUGCAAAUCGAUCGUCAAACAUGCGCAUGGGGGCGAAAGACUAAUCGAAUCUUCUGGUAGCUGGUUUCCGCCGAAGUUCCCUCAGGA
rnacentral:rRNA from 1 species